UUUUCUCCAUCACCUGGGAGGAAGGUAAAGCAAUCCUGCAGACAGGGGAGACAGAUGAGAAGUGAGUUUGGAGGCACAGGCUCAGCGUGGAAGCUCCUGGUAUCCCCAGAGUGCGCUGGGACAACCAUGAGCCAGCGUUCAGGUGUUUGAAGUCCACCCCAGUGCCCACCAGAUGCCAUAGUGGGACAAUGACCUGGCCACGUCCUCUGUGCAGAAUGACCUCAGCAAAUCCUAGCCAUGGGGGGAUUGGUGAGACACUGCCAUGAGGAAGUGAGAAAUCUCAGGAACUCUCAGUAUGGUGGGAAUUAGGGUGGAGAAGAAGAGAACACCAUCCUGCAAGAGCUCCCAGCUCACCAGAGCACGCCCUGCUCUCCAGCUGCUUGAAUUGCCUUUGGCCAUGGGUGGUGGAUGUAUAGAAAAAUACAGCUCAGUCUUUUCCCAGGAUACACAGUUUUGUAGGCUUGGAGGGUCUUGGGAUGCUCUGAUCUGAGCUCCUCAUAAAACUGUAGGAAAUAUCUUUCCUUCUGUAGAUGCAGAAUGGCAUAACCCAGAGAAUGACGUGGUGCUUUGGGUGAAAUAUUUUCCACCUGAUGUCCGGACAGAGGAAAUUCAUCACAUAAUUCCAUCCAUCCUGAUACACAUAAGUAGCUGAUAAUCAAAAUAUGUAUCUAUUGCAAAUGACAAAUUAAGCAUCUUCACUGAAACGUGCACAUGGGCCCGUGUUUCCCUGCACCACCACAUCUCCAUCCCCUCCCAAUCUCCUUGGCUAUCCUUUCUACACCUGCAGGCCACUAAGGGGGGCUGGCACCCAACUGAUGUGUUUUCCCAGACACUUGUGACCUCCAGACCCAUCCAAAGUUUUUCCAGCACGGUCUCCUCCUCGCUGGAUCUCCACUCAGUUCAUCUCAGCUUUCUGUGACCCGUCAAGACUCAGAACGGUGCACAAAUAUUGAUUGAUGUAGACAAUAUUUAUAUCAUAUAUAUAUAUAAUAUACAACUGACCCCAGCGGUAUGUAUCUAUCUGUGUGUGUAUAUCUUACUGUACGUAGAGAGCUGCCUUACAGACGUCUGUCUCUCUUAGAUAUCAGAAUUAUUUAUCCGAGAUAAAUAUCAUUGUUACUGAUGGGAGCAGCGAGCGCCGCCCAUCCCGCGCAGCGGUCCCGGUGCCGCCUGUCUCUCCGACAGUGGGUGGCACUGUGCAAUCAAAAUAGCUUUGCUUUCCCUUUAUUCCACUGCCUUCAUCUUCC
rnacentral:lncRNA from 1 species